rnacentral:rRNA from 1 species
UACGAAGGGGGCUAGCGUUGCUCGGAAUUACUGGGCGUAAAGGGCGCGUAGGCGGAUAUUUAAGUCAGGGGUGAAAUCCUGGAGCUCAACUCCAGAACUGCCUUUGAUACUGAAGAUCUUGAGUUCGGGAGAGGUGAGUGGAACUGCGAGUGUAGAGGUGAAAUUCGUAGAUAUUCGCAAGAACACCAGUGGCGAAGGCGGCUCACUGGCCCGAUACUGACGCUGAGGCACGAAAGCGUGGGGAGCAAACAGG